CUGCUCUCCUUUCAGAUGCUCCAUUAAUAACAGCAGAACUAAAGCGAGUUAUGAAGCUCUACAGCUGUGUGGGUGAUGCCGUUUUCUUCCAGGACUCCUUAUGGCUUUAUUCCAGCCCUGUCCGAGGAGAACAGAGCAGCUUUUCACUUCACAAGAUGUUAACUGAUGGACUG
ensembl:lncRNA